rnacentral:rRNA from 1 species
GAUGAACGCUGGCGGCGUGCCUAAUACAUGCAAGUCGAGCGAACAGACGAGGAGUUUGCUCCUCUGACGUUAGCGGCGGACGGGUGAGUAACAUGUGGAUAACCUACCUAUAAGACUGGGAUAACUUCGGGAAACCGGAGCUAAUACCGGAUAAUAUAUUGAACCGCAUGGUUCAAUAGUGAAAGACGGUUUUGCUGUAACUUAUAGAUGGAUCCGCGCCGCAUUAGCUAGUUGGUAAGGUAACGGCUUACCAAGGCAACGAUGCGUAGCCGACCUGAGAGAGGGGUCGGCCACACUGGAACUGAGACACGGUCCAGACUCCUACGGGAGGCAGCAGUAGGGAAUCUUCCGCAAUGGGCGAAAGCCUGACGGAGCAAGGCCGCGUGAGUGAUGAAGGUCUUCGGAGCGUGAAACUCUGUUAUUAGGGAAGAACAAAUGUGUAAGUAACUAUGCACGUCUUGACGGUACCUGAUCAGAAAGCCACGGCUAACUACGUG